GUGCAGGAGACACUAAGGAGAAGAUGCACUGUAAGUGGAGGUGUCACGAGGAAGACAUGUAACAUUUUUAUUUAUUGUUACAAAAGAAAACUGGCUAUUUAAAAAUAAUACAGUGGCGUGGGAUAACAAACAGAUUGUGGCUCACAGUAGUGCAGAGGCCACUGGAAGCACGGAAGGGUACGACAGGGUGAUAUGGUACCAUCUUAAAGAUGUACCGUGAUACUUAAGGAGGCAUACUGCAAAUCCUAAAGGAGCCACUAAGAGUUAUGGCUACCAAGGAAAAUAAGAUUUAAAUAAAAACACAAGAAAUGUCACCCAGAAGAAUUUUUUAAAAAAACAAAAACAAAAAAACCCUUCCAUCUAUUCAGCUCUAGGUUCUGAAGAUGCUGGCCAGUGCAAUCAGGCAAGAAAACAAGAGGUAAAGCGUGUCUGUACUGGGAAAGAAGAAGCAGAUCUCCCAUUAUCAGUGUAACAAACGCUUAUUUGCGUGGAAAAUCCAAUGGAAUCUAAAAAAACCAAUCGACAACAACAAACCCCAAGUUUAACAAGGUCAUAAAACACAAAGUUGAUUAUAAAUUUAAAUUAACAGCUGGAGAAUAAAUCUUAAAUGUAUACUAUGAUAGGAUCAUGAAAAUAGAAAAUGCUUAGAGAUAAAAUGAAGUCAUGUUUCUGGAACCAAAGAUGCGAUAUUUUAAGAUAUAUAUCACAUUCAAGAUCCCAGGAGACUGACUUUCCUAUUUCGUGGUACUUGGGAUUGAACCUAGGGUUUCACACAUACAAAGCCCAUGUUCUACCACUGAGCAACAGCCUCAGCUACUUUUCAUUUUUAAAAACAAUUUGAGACAAGGGUCUUGAUAAAUUAUCCAGGCAAUCCUUGAACAUACUCUGUAGCACAGGCUGGACCAUUAAUUUUCUGCCUCAGCCUCUCAGAUAUCUCGGGAUUAUAGAUUUGUGCCACCGCCGGCCUAACUGGCCAUUUAUCUAUUUCAGAAAUAAAGGAGCUGAUUCUAAAAUUCACCUGGAAAUGCAAAAGAUCUAGAACAACUACACUUAAAAAAAAAAAGACAAUAAAUGAUCUCAAGACAGACAGAGCAGGUUGUAUCUCAGUGGUAGAGUGUUUGCCUAGGAUGUGCUACACCCUGGGCUCAAUCCCUAGCUCUGAAGGAAAGAAAACAAACAGGACCUGGUAUGAAACAGGACCUGGUACGAAGUUAUGAUAACCACAACUGUGUAGUUCCAAAGUGCACGUCCAUGGAACAGAACAGAAUGGCCACAUUUGUGGGCAGAAAGUUUUGUCCAAGGCAAAAGAGAAAGAGGCACAGAGAAAGAAGUGCCCUUCCAACACCUGACACCAGGGUUAUUGUAAGAAUAAUACAGCUCAGCCCAUAGCUUCUCCAUACUCAAAAGCAAACUCAAAAUGAAACAGAAAAACCCAACCAAAAGUGGGCACAAGAGAACAGCAGCCAACACAGAAACUCACACUUGGUGACAGCACAGAGAAUAAACAUUUGUAGAAUGUCAGUCACAAACAGGACGUACCACCAAGGCUCAGGGAAGAUGGGGAAAGAAUGAGGUGGGAAGACUUUAAAAAAAAGACUCACUUUAAUUUUAUGUGUAUGAGUGUUUUGCUUACAGUAUGUAUGUAUGUAUGGUAUGUAUGUAUAUAUGUAUGUAUGUAUGGUAUGUAUGUAUAUAUGUAUGUAUGGUAUGUAUGUAUAUAUGUAUGUAUGUAUGUAUGUAUGUUAUGUCGGUAUGUGUGUUAUGUAUGUAUGUAUGGUAUGUAUGUAUCUGUACCAUGUAUGUAUGUAUGUAUGUAUGUAUGUAUGUAUGUAUCUGUACCAUGAGCGUGCAGUGCCCAUGGCAACCAGAGAGGGCAUCAGAGCCACUGGAAUUGGAGUUAUAGAUGGUUGUGAGCAGCCAUGUGGGUCCUCUGCAUGAGCAACAAGAUCUCUUAAUCACUGAGCCACCUCUCCAGUGAGGUGAAAAAACUGUAGAAGACAAGAAGUAGAGGAGGACCAGAGAAACGGUAUCUUCUGGACAUGACAGGGACUCUGCACUCACGGAUUCACAUCAUCUGUGUCUGCCUGCACAGAACUACACAAGAUCAAGCCAGUCAGCCUUUCGGCUUGAGCCUCAUGGGAAGGGCUCAUGAGUCCCCAGCCCUGGCUAAGCUAUGGGUGCUGACAGCUUCUGGGAGAGGAGAGUCAGUUCUCUUUCAGGGUCUGGACCCUGGUAGAUCUACUGUACUCAGAGGAUGGUCCUACAUCCAUGAAUAUCUGAGCAGCACAAACUGGCCUCAGUGGUCAAUGAAAUGAAAAAGACAUUACGUUUGGUGCUGCUGGUGGCGGUAGUGGUGGUGGUGCUAUUGGUGUUGGUGCUGAUGCUGGCACUGGUGCAGGAGGAGGAGGAUCUGGGAGGAGUUAUGGGAGGAGUGGGAGAAUGUGAUCAAAUACAUCAUAUCCAUGUAUAAAAUUCCCAGAGGAUACAAAUGUUAUUUUACAGUGGACACAAGAUCUGCAUCAAUAUUUCAUCAAAGAAACUAGAGGGAUGAAAUACGCUCCUAAGCCUCUUGUUCAUUCAGCUUCCAUCACCGUGAGGUGAGGUGGGCAGUUUCCCCUAGCCUGUGUUUCCAGUACAAUGCUCUGCCAAACCACAGGCCCAAACCAAGGGGACCGGAAGAAGCCAAGGACUGAGAACAUGAGCUGAAUAAGUCCUUUCUCCUUUAGAAAUACGACAACGGAUGUCCAAGUCAUGACUCAUUAAAAAAAAAUGAAAACCU
rnacentral:lncRNA from 1 species